GGCGGCAGGCCUAACACAUGCAAGUCGAGCGCUCACUUCGGUGGGAGCGGCGGACGGGUUAGUAACGCGUGGGAAUAUGCCCGGUACUAAGGAAUAGCCUUUGGAAACGAAGAGUAAUACCUUAUACGCCCUUCGGGGGAAAGAUUUAUCGGUAUCGGAUUAGCCCGCGUAAGAUUAGAUAGUUGGUGGGGUAAUGGCCUACCAAGUCUACGAUCUUUAGCUGGUUUUAGAGGAUGAUCAGCAACACUGGGACUGAGACACGGCCCAGACUCCUACGGGAGGCAGCAGUGGGGAAUCUUAGACAAUGGGCGCAAGCCUGAUCUAGCCAUGCCGCGUGAGUGAAGAAGGCCUUAGGGUCGUAAAACUCUUUCGCCAGAGAUGAUAAUGACAGUAUCUGGUAAAGAAACCCCGGCUAACUCCGUGCCAGCAGCCGCGGUAAUACGGAGGGGGUUAGCGUUGUUCGGAAUUACUGGGCGUAAAGCGCACGUAGGCGGACUGGAAAGUUGGGGGUGAAAUCCCGGGGCUCAACCUCGGAACUGCCUCCAAAACUAUCAGUCUAGAGUUCGAGAGAGGUGAGUGGAAUUCCAAGUGUAGAGGUGAAAUUCGUAGAUAUUUGGAGGAACACCAGUGGCGAAGGCGGCUCACUGGCUCGAUACUGA
rnacentral:rRNA from 1 species